AAGCAUUCACAAUGCAGACCCUCCCUCCCAGACCCUCCCACUUCUUGGACAGCUCACUAAGAAUGCAGCUUCACAAUGGAUGCUGUCCAGGAGGUGGGAGGGUCUGGGAGGGAGGGUCUGCUGCUGAUUGG